rnacentral:lncRNA from 1 species
GGCGGGGACAUGCCCAAGGCCUUGUCUCCGGGAAUCGCUGCCUGGUCCCCCCAAUGCAGGCCACAGGGCCUGGUCCUGAUGAAACGUCUGUGCCCUGCCCUUCAGGACACGUACUCUAAGUCUCAGUGACAGCUUCAGUCCCCCUUUGCCAAGAUGCGGGCCGGGUCCCUCUGAUGCCCUCCCCGCCCCCCGUCCACUCACCGGCUGGUUCUGUGGACCCGUUCCCAGCCCCCCUUUGCAGACAGGGAGCCUGACAUGGGAGAGGGGACGGGGUCGCCAGGGUGUCUGGCUGGUAAGGGGCAGAGUGGGAUUUGUCCCGGGCCCCUCCAUCACCCGCGCUCACACCAGCCCUCGGCCUGUCUGCUUUAGAGAAGGGGCGGCCUGCGGGGGCAUUUUGCUCUUCUCUGCUGGCCAAGGUCACACAGACAGGUGUGUGGUCACAGGCAGAGGCUGCUGUGGGCUUGGCAAACUCAGCUGGGGUGGCUCCUGGGCCACCAGAGUCUCCGUCAUGGACCAGAGAGCCACGUGGGGGACACAGUGGCCGGCACGUGGAAGCCCUGGAGCCACUGACCAGGCUGCUGUUGGCUCCCGCCGUGAGGCAGUGAGGAGGCCCCCCAGGCCAUAGCAGCCCUGCCAGAGGCUCCUCCGGUGGGGCCUGGCUGGAGGAGGGGGCAGGGUUAGGUCAGCAAGGACACAGUCAGACGCCCCUGGCCAGUGCCUGUCCCUGCAGGCUUCUCAGCGCCACAGGGUCCCUUCCCCCCUCAAGCACAUACCUGUGCCUGACACGGCUUCAAGUGCUGCCACACGGCGAGCUCAGCCAAAGGAGCUGGGCACUGUGGCUUGCCCCUGAUGAGACGUUCUAGGACCUGGGGCAGUACUACUCCUACAGCUCUUUCUUGUUUUCUGGUAGUGGGGACUGAGCCCCGGUGUGCUUAACCCUGAGCCACAUCCCCAGCCCUUUUAACUUUUUGAGACAGGGUCUAAGUUGCUGAGGCUGGCCUCGAACUUACGAUCCUCCUUCCUCAGCCUCUCGAGUUCCUCGGGUUCCAGGUGUGAGCCACGGAGCGGCCUUUACAGGCUCUUCACGGAUGUGCUCCGGUGAGGCCAUGAGACCCUGUCACAUGAGAAGACUGGGACCCAGAAUCAAUGAGCAGGGUCUCCCUGGCCCCCUGACCCUCAGGUGGCCCUGCCUCCUCUUGGGCUCCCUGGCAUCUGCGCUCAGCCAGGGCCACUUCCGCCCUAGAAUCCCCCGGGGACGGCAGCAGAGUGCUCCUCUCCCCCGGGAUCUGGGGGUUUGGGUCGUGCCGUUCGCCGUGUUUCCCGACACCUUGCACCCACGUGGCACUAGGGCCCCCUGUGUGUGGUGACAGAUCCCACAGGGUCCACGUGUGUCCUCAGAGCGGGGCGUGGUCAGGGGUUUUACCUCUUCUGUUCUGUCCCCACACAGCCGGGACGACCCUGGGGUGAGGCCGGGCAGGAGCCCACAUCAGCUCCUGGUGUCGUGGGUCACCAUGGCGCUGGGAGAACAGGCAGCAGGGUGGCAGCUAGGGACAGAAGCCAGGAGGUCACCGAGGAAGCCCCAGUGGGGACACAAGAGCAAGAGGG